AGCGAACGCUGGCGGCAGGCCUAACACAUGCAAGUCGCGCGAGAACCGGUUUCGAUCGGGGAAAGCGGCGAAAGGGAGAGUAACGCGUGGGUCACCUACCCUCGGAUCCGGGAUAGCUACGGGAAACUGUAGGUAAUACCGGAUGACGUCUUCGGACCAAAGGUGUGAUUCCGUCCGGGGAUGGGCCCGGGUCUGAUUAGCUGGUUGGUGAGGUAAAGGCUCACCAAGGCUACGGUCAGUGGCUGGUCUGAGAGGAUGACCAGCCACAUUGGGACUGAGACACGGCCCAAACUCCUACGGGAGGCAGCAGUGGGGAAUCUUGCGCAAUGGGCGAAAGCCUGACGCAGCCAUGCCGCGUGGAUGAUGAAGGUCUUAGGAUUGUAAAAUCCUUUCACCGGUGAAGAUAAUGACUGUAGCCGGAGAAGAAGCCCCGGCUAACUUCGUGCCAGCCGCCGCGGUAAAAC
rnacentral:rRNA from 1 species